CACAGUCCGCUGCUGCCCCUCCCUUUCACCUUCCAUCCAGCACUAAGGGAGUCUGGCCACGGCCUAAUACAGGAGGGCUUGUGGGAGGAGACACACACCCCCUCUUUCUGCACCUCUCCCCUCUUCCAUGCCACCCCCAGGCCAGGAGCCACCACAGCCCUGUCUGUGACUCUCAGCUCCCGAGGCUGGGCUCUUCCCCAGGGAAGCUGCAUGACCAUGGCCACGUACAGGAGGAGACCCUAAAACUCCAUUGGCCUCAUGUCCAGAACUGAAUCAGCCAGUGCCGGAGCCUGCUGCAGCCCCGACCCGGCAGAGCAAGCGGCUCUGCUACCUCAGCCACGUAGCUGAUGGCAUCCUUCAGGUUCAGCUCGUGGAAGACAUUCAGGAUCCGGUCUCGAGACUUCUGGGCCGACCGUCUCAUGAGGACCCUGCUGAGGAACUUCCUGUCGAAGUGGGACCACCUGUAGGGACAGACCUCAGGUGUGAGCCUCAGGUGACAGGCGCCCUAGAGCCCGCCGGACGCGUGGCCCGGCCCCUUCUCUCCUGAAUUUUGUUUGCUAUAGUGACCCUGUAGGCGCAUUUAAAAUGAGGGAAGCAGCCCCUGCCACACGCCCAGGCCGUCCGCCGUUCUCCUGCCUGGCCUGUUGGAUGGAGGCGGUUAGACGCACAUGAAACUGCAUGCCACCUCCUCCAGAGGGUGGCUCAGGACACGCCUAACGGAAUUAGAGUAUUCGCUGGUUAUCCGGAUCAGAAGGGACGGUGGCCUGGCCGGACUUAGAGGAAACUCUGGGGCACAAGGAGGUGAUGCCUGUCACUCUUGGACAUGGGUGCAGCCGCCAGAGCCGCCCUCCAGGGCACAGG
rnacentral:sRNA from 1 species